CUUGGUGUAAACCCUAACUGUGGGUUUAUUGUCAGUGUAUUUUUCGGGGAUUUUAUGGUGAUCGGUAUGGUGGUGAUUGAUGAUCGGAGGCAUGUGGGGGAUAUGGUGAGUGUUCUCGUGAUAGACAUGGUGGAUGGUUUGCGGUGGUGGUGGUGGUGGUGGAUGGUGGUAUUCUGCCGUGUACGGAGGAGGGUAGACAUCAACACGGUUUGGAGGUGGUGGGUAAGCAAGAUGAGGUGGAGGAGGGUAGUGAGGUGGUGGUCCACCGCCGAAGUGUGGUGGAGGUGGGUACUGUGGUUCGUCGUCACGGCGGUGGUGGUGGUGGUGGUUGUGACCGUAUGGAUCCAUUACUUGAAAACAAAGCUGAACUGAUGAAGUUCCUCCGCAGGCAACGCCCAAACUUACAUAG
rnacentral:lncRNA from 1 species